rnacentral:rRNA from 1 species
UACGGGGGGGGCAAGCGUUGUUCGGAAUUACUGGGCGUAAAGGGCUCGUAGGUGGCCAACUAAGUCAGACGUGAAAUCCCUCAGCUUAACUGGGGAACUGCGUCUGAUACUGGAUGGCUUGAGUUUGGGAGAGGGAUGCGGAAUUCCAGGUGUAGCGGUGAAAUGCGUAGAUAUCUGGAGGAACACCGGUGGCGAAGGCGGCAUCCUGGACCAACACAGACACUGAGGAGCGAAAGCCAGGGGAGCAAACGGG